AGAAAAAUGUAAUCCCUUUUGGGUAACUGAUUUACAUUAAUAAUAGCUGAUAACAUUUGUCAAAAAAAACAAAAAAGUUGUGUAGAAAGAUCAUUGGAAAGUCUCGUGAGAGAGAUUAACAUCUUAGAGAGGGAGAACAACAUCCAUUGAAGCUAAUUUGAACCCCAACAUCCGCCAUUGAAGCUAAUUUGAAGUUCAACAUCUGCCAUUGAAGCUAAUUUGAACCCUAACAUCUGCCAUUGAAGCUAAUUUGAAGCUUUGAAGAGCAAACCCAAAUCAGGAUCCAUACAAGAACCAAAGCACUUGAUUCUAGGCCUCCUUGAUGAUAUCCCCAUAUCAUAUCUCCUUCGCCUUACAUUCCUGUACCAAUCAUCGAAUAUGUGUCAAAAUAUUAAAAUCGAUAAGUUCUAAGUUUGUCAACCAAAAAGUCGAAAAAUUAUAAAUCUAUAAAAAUUUUGAAAUACAAUUACAC
rnacentral:lncRNA from 1 species